AAGUCGAACGGGGUAAGGAGAGCUUGCUCGAAUUACCUAGUGGCGGACGGGUGAGUAACACGUGAGCAACCUACCUAACAGAGGGGGAUAACGUCUGGAAACGGACGCUAAUACCGCAUAAAAUAUAUGUAAGGCAUCUUAGAUAUAUCAAAGGAGGAAUCCGCUGAUAGAUGGGCUCGCGGCCGAUUAGAUAGUUGGCGGGGUAACGGCCCACCAAGUCGACGAUCGGUAGCCGGACUGAGAGGUUGGACGGCCACAUUGGGACUGAGACACGGCCCAGACUCC
rnacentral:rRNA from 1 species